rnacentral:lncRNA from 1 species
GACAAUACUGGUAAAGGAUAGAGAAGAAGAAGAUCCAUAUAUAGAUGAUGGUGGUGCUAUUUGUGUUGGGGUGCACGGGAGUUGUGGUGUUCCUUCACGGCGCCAGUUUCUUCUUCCACCUCCUUACCCGUCACCUUGCUCUUCGAUCUCUCAGGUAAUCAAAUAACUAAUCAUCUCUCUCUCUCUCUGUUUGAUCUAGCUAGUCAUCUGAGACUCAUUUCCCAUAUCUUCGGAAUUAUCUCUCUCUCUCUCUCUCUGCCUCAGUGAAUAUAAUUGUUAAUCUCCUAACUUUAAAACUGUAUGAAUUGUUUUGUUUGGUUUCAUCAGUUUUCUGGGAUUUGGGUGGUAGAUAAGCAAACAAAAGUAUAAGAGCUCAGAGAUGAUAGACUGGUCGCCGCCCCGCAUGUUGUCUUGUUUAUGAAGUAUAGGAGGACACCCCAAUAUUUCCAAGCAGUGGUUAAUUAUCUUUUAGUUUAGUUUAAUUAGCAGAUGAUGAUAUGAUCAUCUUGUAAUUAAUGCCAAAUAUGAUAAUAAAGCUCAAGAAAGGUAAAGCCUUUUCUUUGAGGGCUAGCUUUUGAGCUAAACCAUCUUGUCAAUUUUGAUAUCCUUCUAGGCUAAUGCGAGUUGCAACACACAC